AGCAGUGCUCUAUUUGUCACCAACUGCCUUCUUCAUCGUAUUAUCAGUUCGCAAUCAUGGUUAAUGAUGGCGUCGUGGUGCUGUUGGGUGUUUUAUCGUUGAUGGCUGAGUUGACCACUUGUGUACCCAUGUCUCCUGGGUAUGGCGGAUACCAAACAACAACGCCACCGUCUUACUAUACAACAACAACAUAAGCAACAACCGGUUACAACACCACCAAGGCUCAAGAGUAUUACACCACGACUUAUGCUGCUCUGAAGUAUAACUCUGCCACGAGCUACAUCACCAAAAAGCUGGAGUACUACACCGAGGACCCUAAUUACUACAACACUUAAGCGCAACUACACUACAACCUCCGCUGCACCGAGCUACUACACCGACGCCCAAAAGUAUUACUCUGCGUAAAAGGAGUCGUCUAAAAAAAUAGAAGUCGUAUAAAAGGAGAGAGAAAAAGCGAUCAGUCGUGUGAUCGUCUCCGACACGGAAAUAACUGCUGUGCACUAUCUGUCACCAACUUCCUUCUUCACCGUAUUACCAGUUUGCAAUCAUUGUUAUCCGUAGUUAUCUAUGGCGUCGUGGUGCUGUUGGGUGUUCGUUGGUGUAUCGUUGAUGGCUGAGUUGUCCACUUGUGUAAUGAUGUCUCCUUGCUAUGGCGGAUACCAAACCGCAACGCCGCCGCCUAACUACACAAUAACAAGACACGCAACAUCUGGUUACUACACCACCAAGGUUCCAGAUUAUUGCACCAAAACUUAUGAUGCCCCGAGCUACUACACCGAGCGCCGAAGUAUAACUUUGCCUCGAGCUACAUUACCAAAGAGCCGGAGUACUACACCGAUGCUUCCAAGUCCCUAAUUACUACAGCACCGAAGCGCCUAAGUACUACUACUCUGCCCCGACCUACUAAACCGACUCCCCGAAGUUAUUAUCUGCGUAAAAGAAGUCGUAUAAAAUGAGAGAGAAAAUACGGUAGAAAUCAGUCAAGUGUGGAUCUCCGACACGACAACAAAUGCAUUGUACUAUCUUUCACCAACUGCAUUCCUUAACGUGUAUAACCAAUUCGCAAUCAUGGUUAACUAUGGCGUUGUGCUGCUGUUGAAUCGUUGGUGACUGGGUCGAUCAUGGGUGUGCUGAUUUUCCUGGAUAUGGUGGAUUUCAAACAACAGCAGCGAAAGAAUAGUACACCACGUUGCCGCCUUAAUACACAACGUCAACAUACGCAACACCUACUUACUACACUGAGUCUCCUAAGUACUACACCACCAAGGCUCCAGAGUACUACACGAAACCUUACGCUACCUUAAGCUACCACACCGAAGUAUUACUCUGCCCCGAGUUACAUCACCGAAGCGCCUGAGUAUUAUACUGAUGCUCCCACGUAUUACACUACAACCUACGCUGCUCUAGCUUACUAUACUGAUGCUCCGAAGUACUAUUCUGAUCAUAGCCACUACACCGAAGCUCCAGCUUAUUACACCACCAAAGCGGUCGAGUACGACACCGAAGCGUCCAAGUACACUGCAACCUACUGCAGCGCACUGUUUGUCAUCAACUGUCUUCUUCAUCGUAUGAAAUCAGUUCGCAAUCAUGGUUAACUAUGGCGUUGUUGGCGCUGUUUGGUAUUGUAUCAUUGAUGGCUGCGUUGUCCACGAGUGUACCGACGUCCCCUGGGUAUCGUGGAUAGUAAACCUCAACACCCUCGCCUUACUACACAACAACAACAUGCGCAACAACCGGUUACUACACCACCAAGGCUCCAGUGUAUUGAAGCAAAACUUAUGAUGCCCCGAGCUACUACACAGAGCCCCAAAGUAUAAGUCUGCCCUGAGUCAUUUUAUCAAAGAGUCGGAGUACUACACCAAAGCGCCCAAGUACUUCACUACAACCUACGCUGCUCCGAGCUUCUACACCGAAGCCCUGAAUUAUUACACUGCGUUAAAGGAGUCGUCUAAAAAAGUCGUAUAAAAGUAGAGAAAAGGAGGUAGAAAUCAGUCGAGUGAGGAUCUCCGACACGGCAACAACUGCAAUGGAUUACUUGUCACCAACUGGAUUGUUAAUCGUAUAACCAGUCCGCAAUCAUGGUAAACUAUAGCGUCGUGCUGCUGUUGGGUGUUGAUUGUUGAAUCAUUGAUGACUGGGUCGACCGCUGGUGUACCGAUGUCUCCUUGGCAUAGCGGAUACCAAAACUCAAUGCCUCUGCAGGGUACUAGUACACAACAACAACAACUUACGCAACGACUAGUUACUAGACAGAGGGCCCUAAGUACUACACCACUAAGGCACCGGAGUAUUAUACCACAAAUUACGCUGCCCUGAGCUACUACAUUGACGCCCUUAAGUAUUACUCUUCCCCGAACUACACCACCCCUUAGUACCCGAUUACUACACAACUUCGUAUGCUGCGCUGUCCCAUCCUACUACACAGAGGCUCCCAAGUACUACUCUGUUCUCAUCUGCUUACUACACCACUAAGGCACCGGAGUAUUAUACCACAAAUUACGCUGCCCCGAGCUACACCAACCUUAGCACCGGAGUACAACACGACUUCGUAUGCUGCGCUGUCCCAUCCUACUACACCGAGGCUCCCAAGUACUACUCGGUUAUCAGCUGCUUACUACACCAAUCCUAAGUACUACUUUGUUCCCAGCUACAACAUUGAAGCUCCAACUUAUUACACCACUGAAGUGGUCAACUACUACACCAAAGCGCCAAGUACUACACUGCAACCUACGCUGCCCCAGGUUACACCACGAAGGCACCGGAAUACUACAUCAUAACGUGCCUCAGCCUAAUACACCCGAUCUACACAACCACAUCUGAGGCGUCAAAGUAUUACUACACAGCGCCUUCAAUUUUAUAGUAAGGUGACAGCA
rnacentral:lncRNA from 1 species